rnacentral:rRNA from 1 species
AUUGAACGCUGGCGGCAUGCCUUACACAUGCAAGUCGAACGGUAACGGGCCUUCGGGUGCCGACGCGUGGCGAACGGGUGAGUAAUACAUCGGAACGUGCCCGAUCGUGGGGGAUAACGAGGCGAAAGCUUUGCUAAUACUGCAUACGAUCUACGGAUGAAAGCAGGGGACCGCAAGGCCUUGCGCGGACGGAGCGGUCGAUGACAGAUUAGGUAGUUGGUGGGAUAAGAGCUUACCAAGCCGACGAUCUGUAGCUGGUCUGAGAGGAUGAUCAGCCACACUGGGACUGAGACACGGCCCAGACUCCUACGGGAGGCAGCAGUGGGGAAUUUUGGACAAUGGGCGCAAGCCUGAUCCAGCCAUGCCGCGUGCAGGAUGAAGGCCUUCGGGUUGUGAACUGCUUUUGUACGGAACGAAAAGCCUUCUUUUAAUACAGGAGGGUCAUGACGGUACCGUAAGAAUAAGCACCGGCUAACUACGUG